UACGGGGGGGGCACGCGUUGUUCGGAAUUACUGGGCGUAAAGGGCUCGUAGGCGGCCAACUAAGUCAGACGUGAAAUCCCUCGGCUUAACCGGGGAACUGCGUCUGAUACUGGAUGGCUUGAAUCCGGGAGAGGGAUGCGGAAUUCCAGGUGUAGCGGUGAAAUGCGUAGAUAUCUGGAGGAACACCGGUGGCGAAGGCGGCAUCCUGGACCGGCAUUGACGCUGAGGAGCGAAAGCCAGGGGAGCAAGCGGG
rnacentral:rRNA from 1 species